rnacentral:rRNA from 1 species
UACGGAGGGUGCAAGCGUUAUCCGGAAUUACUGGGUUUAAAGGGUGCGUAGGCGGCGACAUAAGUCAGAAGUGAAAGUUGGCAGCUUAACUGCAAAAUUGCUUUUGAUACUGUGUUGCUUGAAUCAAGUUGAGGCUGGCGGAAUGUGGCAUGUAGCGGUGAAAUGCUUAGAUAUGCCAUAGAACACCAAUUGCGAAGGCAGCUGGCUAGACUUGUAUUGACGCUGAGGCACGAAAGCGUGGGGAGCGAACAGGAUUAGAUACCCCCGUA